GACGAACGCUGGCGGCGUGCUUAACACAUGCAAGUCGAGCGGCAAGGCCCUUUCGGGGGUACACGAGCGGCGAACGGGUGAGUAACACGUGGGUGACCUGCCCUCAGCUCUGGGAUAAGCCUGGGAAACCGGGUCUAAUACCGGAUAUGACUCCAUGACGCAUGUUGUGGGGUGGAAAGCCUUGUGCGGCUGAGGAUGGGCCCGCGGCCUAUCAGCUUGUUGGUGGGGUGAGGCCUACCAAGGCGACGACGGGUAGCCGGCCUGAGAGGGCGACCGGCCACACUGGGACUGAGACACGGCCCAGACUCCUACGGGAGGCAGCAGUGGGGAA
rnacentral:rRNA from 1 species